AGCUCACCUCGGAUUGUAAAUGCUAACACGGGUCCUCCGGCCGGCUGAUCCAGAACUUAGGUCGCCGGGACGUGUGGCUUCUGCUUCUCAGACGCUCGGACUCGCGCCGGGAAGGGUUUCGCCUCCCCUGGUCCCCGCUUUUUUUUUUUUUUUCUGCGUCCGGUUAUUGCAAAUGCAUUCAGUCCAGUAGCACUAGCCCAGGAAAUAUAAGCCACCGGCUCACGUUGCUCCUCACAGGUAUGCGGCGCUUCCGCUGGCCUCCAAGGACACGAAGCCCCGGGCCGUCUGGCCCCCCACUCUAGCACUGAAAUUCCUGCCGCCCCGUUCAGCUGACAAAUUUGGCAGCACUAAAUUUUAUUUUAUUCGACAAAUUAAGUACCCAGUUAACACCAGGGAGUAACGGGGUAAGAAAAUUUCAGAAGGCUGGUGGAUAAUAAUAGCAUUUACCUCAUAAAUUUGUUAUGAGGAUGUGAAGCACUUAGAGUAGUGUCUGGCAGUUUGUAGGCGCUCAGUAACUGUUAGCUGUUAUUAUUUUUAUAUUGAUUAUUCCAUAGUCACCACUAUUAUCACCUUAAUGUCAAGCUUGAAAUCCAGUAUCUUUCCUCUGCGAAGCCAUCACUCCAAGACUAAUUAACUUUAGACUGGGGCAUUCUUCUUUAAACUCUUGCUCACACAUCCCUAUCAGAAAAAAUAUAUAUAUAUUUACAUGUGUCAUGUAUGGCAUUAAUAUAUUAUGCAUGCUAUAAAACUCACAAGACAUCAAACUUUUGAUGAGGUAAAAACAAUUUUUAAACUUUUUUAAAAACUUCUAACAGAAGUUCUUUUCUUCCUCCACAACAAUUAGGUUGCCAAACAUACAUUCUAUCACUCUGGAAUCCACUAGCUAAAUGAGCACAUUAUCAAAGCAACCUACCGCUGAAUUCUGACUUCCCAGAAUGUUUCUUUUCCAAAGAAUUAAUAGAAACUAAUCAGAUUGUGAAGUGCUCGGCCAUAAGGACUAUUUAAAUGGUUCUUAGAGAAAAAGAAGAAAUAAAAUAGGCAUCCACUGAGUAAUAUUCAUUGAUGCAACAUUGAUUAUUGACUUAUUACAUUUUCAAAGAGAUUGAGGUUAUAAUACCUUACACCAAGCUUAAUAUUUCAAAGAAUAAAUCAACUAAUAAAAAGCUUAUG
rnacentral:lncRNA from 10 species